rnacentral:rRNA from 1 species
UACAGAGACUGCAAGCGUUAUUCGGAUUCACUGGGCGUAAAGGGUGCGUAGGUGGCGCUGUAAGUCGGGUGUGAAAUUUCGGAGCUUAACUCCGAAACUGCAUUCGAUACUGCGGUGCUUGAGGACUGGAGAGGAGACUGGAAUUCAUGGUGUAGCAGUGAAAUGCGUAGAGAUCAUGAGGAAGACCAGUGGCGAAGGCGGGUCUCUGGACAGUUCCUGACACUGAGGCACGAAGGCCAGGGGAGCAAACGGG